rnacentral:rRNA from 1 species
GAUGAACGCUAGCGGGAGGCCUAAUACAUGCAAGUCGAACGGGUGAAUUAGCUUCGGUUGGUUCACUAGUGGCGCACGGGUGAGUAACGCGUACGCAAUCUGCCCUAUGCUGGGGAAUAGCCCUGGGAAACUGGGAGUAAUACGCCAUAGUUCUACGGAUCUGCAUGGAUUUGUAGAUAAAGCUGCGGCGGCAUAGGAUGAGCGUGCGUCUGAUUAGGUAGUUGGUGAGGUAACGGCUCACCAAGCCGACGAUCAGUAAGGGGCGUGAGAGCGUGGCCCCUCACACGGGUACUGAGACCACGGACCCGACUCCUACGGGAGGCAGCAGUAAGGAAUAUUGGACAAUGGGCGCAAGCCUGAUCCAGCCAUCCCGCGUGCUUGAUGAAGGCCCUCUGGGUUGUAAAGAGCUUUAGUCUGGGAAGAAACCGUUUUCUGCGGAAGACGCUGACGGUACCAGAAGAAUAAGCACCGGCUAACUCCGUGCCAGCAGCCG